rnacentral:tRNA from 1 species
GGGCAGUUGGCUCAGUUGGUAGAGCACACGCUUCACAUGCGUGGGGUCAUAGGUCCGAGUCCUAUACUGCCCA